AUUGAACGCUGGCGGCAGGCUUAACACAUGCAAGUCGAGCGGAGAGAGGUAGCUUGCUACUGAUCUUAGCGGCGGACGGGUGAGUAAUGCUUAGGAAUCUGCCUAUUAGUGGGGGACAACAUUUCGAAAGGAAUGCUAAUACCGCAUACGUCCUACGGGAGAAAGCAGGGGAUCUUCGGACCUUGCGCUAAUAGAUGAGCCCAGGUCGGAUUAGCUAGUUGGUGGGGUAAAGGCCUACCAAGGCGACGAUCUGUAGCGGGUCGGAGAGGAUGAUACGCCACACUGGGACUGAGACACGGCCCAGACUCCUGCGGGAGGCAGCAGUGGGGAAUAUUGGACAAUGGGCGGAAGCCUGAUCUAGCCAUGCCGCGUGUGUGAAGAAGGCCUUAUGGUUGUAAAGCACUUUAAGCGAGGAGGAGGCUACUUUAGUUAAUACCUAGAGAUAGUGGACGUUACUCGCAGAAUAAGCACCGGCUAACUCUGUGCCAGCAGCCGCGGUAA
rnacentral:rRNA from 1 species